CGAAUGCUGACAUAAGUAACGAUAAAGCGGGUGAAAAGCCCGCUCGCCGGAAGACCAAGGGUUCCUGUCCAACGUUAAUCGGGGCAGGGUGAGUCGACCCCUAAGGCGAGGCCGAAAGGCGUAGUCGAUGGGAAACAGGUUAAUAUUCCUGUACUUGGUGUUACUGCGAAGGGGGGACGGAGAAGGCUAUGUUGGCCGGGCGACGGUUGUCCCGGUUUAAGCGUGUAGGCUGGUUUUCCAGGCAAAUCCGGAAAAUCAAGGCUGAGGCGUGAUGACGAGGCACUACGGUGCUGAAGCAACAAAUGCCCUGCUUCCAGGAAAAGCCUCUAAGCAUCAGGUAACAUCAAAUCGUACCCCAAACCGACACAGGUGGUCAGGUAGAGAAUACCAAGGCGCUUGAGAGAACUCGGGUGAAGGAACUAGGCAAAAUGGUGCCGUAACUUCGGGAGAAGGCACGCUGAUAUGUAGGUGAAGUCCCUCGCGGAUGGAGCUGAAAUCAGUCGAAGAUACCAGCUGGCUGCAACUGUUUAUUAAAAACACAGCACUGUGCAAACACGAAAGUGGACGUAUACGGUGUGACGCCUGCCCGGUGCCGGAAGGUUAAUUGAUGGGGUCAGCGCAAGCGAAGCUCUUGAUCGAAGCCCCGGUAAACGGCGGCCGUAACUAUAACGGUCCUAAGGUAGCGAAAUUCCUUGUCGGGUAAGUUCCGACCUGCACGAAUGGCGUAAUGAUGGCCAGGCUGUCUCCACCCGAGACUCAGUGAAAUUGAACUCGCUGUGAAGAUGCAGUGUACCCGCGGCAAGACGGAAAGACCCCGUGAACCUUUACUAUAGCUUGACACUGAACAUUGAGCCUUGAUGUGUAGGAUAGGUGGGAGGCUUUGAAGUGUGGACGCCAGUCUGCAUGGAGCCGACCUUGAAAUACCACCCUUUAAUGUUUGAUGUUCUAACGUGGACCCGUGAUCCGGGUUGCGGACAGUGUCUGGUGGGUAGUUUGACUGGGGCGGUCUCCUCCUAAAGAGUAACGGAGGAGCACGAAGGUUGGCUAAUCCUGGUCGGACAUCAGGAGGUUAGUGCAAUGGCAUAAGCCAGCUUGACUGCGAGCGUGACGGCGCGAGCAGGUGCGAAAGCAGGUCAUAGUGAUCCGGUGGUUCUGAAUGGAAGGGCCAUCGCUCAACGGAUAAAAGGUACUCCGGGGAUAACAGGCUGAUACCGCCCAAGAGUUCAUAUCGACGGCGGUGUUUGGCACCUCGAUGUCGGCUCAUCACAUCCUGGGGCUGAAGUAGGUCCCAAGGGUAUGGCUGUUCGCCAUUUAAAGUGGUACGCGAGCUGGGUUUAGAACGUCGUGAGACAGUUCGGUCCCUAUCUGCCGUGGGCGCUGGAGAACUGAGGGGGGCUGCUCCUAGUACGAGAGGACCGGAGUGGACGCAUCACUGGUGUUCGGGUUGUCAUGCCAAUGGCACUGCCCGGUAGCUAAAUGCGGAAGAGAUAAGUGCUGAAAGCAUCUAAGCACGAAACUUGCCCCGAGAUGAGUUCUCCCUGACCCUUUAAGGGUC
rnacentral:rRNA from 1 species